AAGAGCAGAUGAUUCGUAGGACUCGAAGAAUUUGUUUGGUGACCAUAGUGUUGCGGUACCACCUGAUCCCAUUCCGAACUCAGUAGUGAAACGUAAUAACGCCGAUGGUAGUGUGGGGUUUCCCCAUGUGAGAGUAGGGCAUCGCCAAACGCUAAAUUAGAUUUAAGACACUGUCUUGAACGAAAAAAGCCGAUAUCAUUGAUAUCGGCUUUUUUUAUAUCUGU
rnacentral:misc_RNA from 1 species